CAAAGUAAUUGAGUAAUUACUCUAUUUUUUGAAGUUAUUCUGAAAAUGGAGAGGAAAGUCCGGACAUUUAGCUAAUGUUUUGCAUUAGCAAUGGUAGCGGGUAAUUCCCGUCCGCAGUGAUGCGAGAGGUGCGAGCAGAGACGUUUUAGUGCGAGAGCAUUAAAACGCCCCAUCUUUUGUUGGGGCGAGUUCUUGCGGUAACGCAGGAGGUGAAACGGCAAAAUCCUUACUUGAAUGCAAGACCGUACUGUCAAUGUUUUGCAUUGGCAGGGUGUCGCUAGAUCUAGAUGGCAACAUCUAGACAAGAUAAAUGAUUACUUAACACAGAAUCCGGCUUAUAGAUUACUUUGAUAU
rnacentral:RNase_P_RNA from 2 species